rnacentral:rRNA from 1 species
CCCACUGAACUGAAGCAUCUCAAUAAGUGGAGGAAAAUAAACUAACUAGGAUACUCUUAGUAAGUGCGACCGAAGAGAGUAAAGCUCAAUAAUCUAAACUUUAAAUUUUUAUAAUUUAAAGUCAUGUGAUUUUCUAAACUCAUUGAAAUUUUUAUAAAUUAUGAUUGAAUUCAUAACUAUAAAGAGUUAUAGUCUCGUUAUAUUGAAAUUUCAAGCAUGGGAAUUAGAAUUAAAGAGUCGGGUAGCUUGAGAAUGCUGCCUUAAUAUAGGUGGUACACCCCAUCUAAAGCUAAAUAUUGUAAAGAGACCGAUAGCAUACAAGUAGUGUGAACGAAAGAUGAAAAGAACUCCUAAACGGAGAAUUAAAAGCGCCUGAACUUGUCUAGGUUUUCGCAUUUCUUUAAUGCGCCCGUCUUGAAACACGGAUUAGGGAGUUUUACUUAAAUACGAGUCUUUAACUUUUAAAGUAAUUUUUUUAAAAAAGGCGAAAAGAAAUUAACUGGUUUUUUAACAUGGCUAUAGAGUAUUUAAGUCAAAACCCGAAUGGAGGUGAACUAUUCCUGCAAAGAUUGAAGUCAGGGGAAACUCUGAUGGAAGAUCGUUGGCGUUAUUGAUGUGCAAAUCAUUUGCUUUAUGUAGGUAUAGGUGCGAAAGACUCAUCGAACCUCCUAAUAGCUGGUUUCCUCCGAAGUUUCCCUCAGGAUAGCUGUAACAUUUUUAAAUAGUUAAGGAUAGUAGAGAAAUGGGUAGAGGUGUAGUGGAACUACGGUUCUGCAACUUAUUUCCAAACUUCGAACGUUCUUGAUAUAAAAAAUUACCUAAUAGGAAUUUUUUAUUUAAAUAUAUGUUAUAAGUGGGCUCUGACCGGUAAGCGGUCAUGGCGAAAAGGGAUGAACCUAACGUAUAAAUAAGGUGCCUAAAUUUACUAACAAUGAAACCAUUAAAAGAGUCCAUGUAUUUAGACAGCGGGUCGGUGCCCCUAAAAGCAGGUAUCCGUUAAUGAGUGUGUUAAAACUCCCCCGCCGAAUACUCUGGCCUUGAAAAUGAAUGGCGCAUAUAGUAAUACCGAUAUUAUACAUUAAAAUUAUUUCAAAAUUUUAAAAGUAGGGGGAUGUGGAUAUCUUAGAGAAUUUUUAAUUGUAAAAUUGAAUUGAAAGAUAUCUAUUACAGAUCCUAAUUGAAGUAGCGAUUAUCCAGGUUAAUCUCCUGGGGGCUGAUGAGGAGUAGGGUUUCUGGGCAACUUAAACGGACCCAGAGUUAGUCGAUCCUAAUCAAAUUAAAUUUAGAGAAAGGGAAUAUGAAUGAUAUUUCAUAACUAAAAUUAAUUUUUAAAUGGUGACAUUUUUUUAAACUUAUUUCCAUCAAUUAAAUACUGUUUAAUAGGGAUUUCUUUCCUAUAUAACUUUUUAAUUAAAACUUAAGAAACAGGUUAACUGGAGAAUAAAGUUUUAAUUUAGUAAAAUUAUAAUUUCGAUUAUAAUAACGGCUAUUUAAAUGAUCCAUGAAACGAUAAGUUUAUUUUUUCAAAAAUUAAUUUAAUCGUACCGAUAACCGCAUCAGGUCUCCAAGGUGAGUAGCUUCUGGCCAUUGAGUAAUGGUAAUUUAGGGAAUUCGGCCAAUUAGAGCUGUAACUUCGGGAUAAAGCUUGGCUCUGAUGGAAAUCAGAACCGAUAGUUACAAGGAGAGCCCAACUGUUUAAUAAAAACUUAGUGUCGCGUCAUACCUUUAUAAGUAAUAAACGUGACAUGAAUCCUGCUCAGUGCUGUGUUUGUUAAACUGGAUUAAUCCAUUUAAGCGCCGGUAAAUAGCUGGGGUAACUAUGACUCUUAUCAAAGUAGCGAAAUACCUCGUCACUUAAUUAGUGACCUGCAUGAACGGAGCUAUGAGGUUCUCACUGUCCCAAAUUAUCACUCAGCGAACCAACAGUUGUGGGAACGGGCACAAAUUAUCCAGCGGGGAAAGAAGACCCUGUAGAGCUUCACUUUGGUCUAAUCUUGUAUAGUUUCGUUAGGGGUGCAGUCUAGGUGGGAGAUUUUUAAUCAAAUAUGAGAAACCACUACCCUUUCUGGAAUUAUACUUACUAAAAUUCUUUUCUAAAUUUUAGGAUCGGAUUAGAUAGAAAGUUUGGCUGGGGCGGCACACCUUCGAAAAAGCAGCGAAGGUGUCCUAAGUUAAGCUCAGUAAGGACAGAAAUCUUACGUUGAGGAUAAGGCCAAAAGCUUAAUUUACUGUGCCUUUUUGUACUAGGAUCAGUUUGGAAACAAAGGCCUAACGAUCCCUAAUUAGUCUUAGGUGUGUAAGACUUGGGGUGACAGACAAGUUACCUCCGGGACAACUGGCUUGUGGCUGCUAAGAGAUCAAAUCAACGCAGCUUUUUGAUUCUUCGAUAGAUCGGAAGAGCGUCGUGUAGGGAAAGAGUGUAGAUCUCG